AGCUCCAAUAGCGUAUAUUAAAGUUGUUGCAGUUAAAAAGCUCGUAGUUGGAUUUCUGGUAGGAGCGACCGUGCCGAACUUGAUUGUUCGUGUAUUGUGUUGUCUUCAGCCAUCCUCGUGGAGAACUUUUCUAACAUUAACUUGUUGGGAUUGGGACCCGCGUCGUUUACUGUGAAAAAAUUAGAGUGUUUAAAGCAGGCAUUAGCUUGAAUACAUUAGCAUGGAAUAAUAAGAUAGGACUUUGGUACUAUUUUGUUGGUUUGCAUACCAAAUUAAUGAUCAACAGGAACAGUUUGAGGAUAUUCGUAUGAACAUGUCAGAGGUGAAAUUCUUGGAUUUUGAUCAGACGAACUACUGCGAAAGCAUUUAUCAAGGAUGUUU
rnacentral:rRNA from 1 species